GAUGAACGCUGGCGGCGUGCCUAAUACAUGCAAGUCGAGCGAACAGACGAGGAGCUUGCUCCUCUGACGUUAGCGGCGGACGGGUGAGUAACACGUGGAUAACCUACCUAUAAGACUGGGAUAACUUCGGGAAACCGGAGCUAAUACCGGAUAAUAUAUUGAACCGCAUGGUUCAAUAGUGAAAGACGGUUUUGCUGUCACUUAUAGAUGGAUCCGCGCCGCAUUAGCUAGUUGGUAAGGUAACGGCUUACCAAGGCAACGAUGCGUAGCCGACCUGAGAGGGUGAUCGGCCACACUGGAACUGAGACACGGUCCAGACUCCUACGGGAGGCAGCAGUAGGGAAUCUUCCGCAAUGGGCGAAAGCCUUACGGAGCAACGCCGCGUGAGGGAUGAAGGUCUUCGGAUCGUAAAACUCUGUUAUUAGGGAAGAACAAAUGUGUAAGUAACUAUGCACGUCUUGACGGUACCUAAUCAGAAAGCCACGGCUAACUACGUG
rnacentral:rRNA from 1 species